CCGACCGCCAGACAAUGCCACUGCAUGGAGUGGCUGCUGGGCCUCUACUUCCUCAGCCACAACCCCAUCAUCCUGUUCAUGGACCUGUAGGCGGUGCUGCCGUGCGAACUCUACCCAGUACAGUUUAGAAAUCUGCUGAAGUGCUAUGCUAAGGGGUUCAAAGGCCCGCUGCUACAGGAGCCACCAGUUUGGUUUAAGUCCUUUCUGUUUUGCGAGCUUAUGUUUCAGGUGCCUUUCUUUCCCAUUGCAACCUAUGCCUUCCUCAAAGGAAGCUGCAACUGGAUUCGAACCCCUGCAAAUCAUCUACUCAGUUCACACCAUGAUAACUUUAAUUCCACUACUCUCCACAUUUCUGUUGGAGGAUUUCUCCAAAGCCAGUGGUUUCAAAGGAUAAAGACCUGAG
rnacentral:lncRNA from 1 species